UCAGGCAACUGCACACCGGAUGACAUUCUAGUGUCUUCUAGAAAGGGUCUGCCACAUGACCAGUUUGUGGUCAAAGAAUUACUGCUUAAUAGGCUUCAAGUAAGAAGACAGAUGUUUUCUAAUUAAUACUGGACACUGACAAAUUCAUGUUUACUAUAAAAUCUCCUUACAUGGAAAUGUGACUGUGUUGCUUUUUCCCAUUUACACUUGGUGAGUCAUCAACUCUACUGAGAUUCCACUCCCCUCCAAGCACCUGCUGUGAUUGGGUGGCCUGCUGUGUCCAUGUUUUUUAUUUUCUGUCAACUAAAAGGAUAGCAAAUUCUGAUCAGAGAAGACUUUAAAACUCUUGACUUAAUUGAGUAAACUCUUCAUGCCAUAUACAUCAUUUUCAUUAUGUUAAAGACUCCUGAGCCCCUUCCAGUGCUGCCUGAGGUGCCCUCUACCUGUGCCUGCCUCUCGUCUGCCAGUUUGAUUUGGACUUGUUUUUCCCACCUCAGCCCCCAUGCUCUUGUCAAACGUGUUUGGCCUCCAGCCAAACAGGGCCUGGGAGGAAAAGAGAGUCCUGCUUCUGCCUGGCUUCCCCAUCGGGGAGGGGAGUUGAGGUGACAGCCUCCUGACAGCUUAGAAAUGUGGAGGACACAGCAAGUUCUGGACAUGGCCGGCCAUAUGAAUGAUAUCUUCUCUUUCUUUGAACCAUCUCCACCUGCUCUUAUGGACACCCCGCCUUGGAGCAAGGCAAGGGAUGGGCACAACUUGGAAGAUUUUGGCUUUGUGAUCCUCAGUGUCCAGUGUCACCCAGAUGGGCCGGAAGCUGCCUUUGAAGCCAACGAAUGCCAUUUGCUCUGAAAAGCAAUGAUGAGUCUCCUGAGCAAAAGCCCUAUGAGAGGACGGCUGCCCCACCCCGUUCCAUGGCUCACCAUCGCCAGCCCCCCACGCCCACCAGGUACCGCCUAGCCACACUGC
rnacentral:sRNA from 1 species